CCUACGGGAGGCAGCAGUGAGGAAUAUUGGUCAAUGGGCGAGAGCCUGAACCAGCCAAGUCGCGUGAGUGAAGACGGUCCUAUGGAUUGUAAACCUCUUUUGUCGGGGAGCAAAAAGUCAUCGUGAGGCCACAAGUCAGAGUACCUGACGAAAAAGCAUCGGCUAACUCCGUGCCAGCGGCCGGGGUAAUACGGAGGAUGCGAGCAUUAUCCGGAUUUAUUGGGUUAAAAGGGUGCGUAGGCGGACUGGAAAGUCAGCGGUAAAAUCGAGGGGCUGAACCUCUUUCCGCCGUUGAAACUGUCGGUCUUGAGUGGGCGAGAAGUAUGCAGAAUGCGUGGUGUAGCGGUGAAAUGCAUAGAUAUCACGCAGAACUCCGAUUGCGAAGGCAGCAUACCGGCGCCCGACUGACGCUGAGGCACGAAAGCGUGGGUAGCGAACAGGAUUAGAUACCCCGGUAGUC
rnacentral:rRNA from 1 species